rnacentral:rRNA from 1 species
GAUGAACGCUGGCGGCGUGCCUAAUACAUGCAAGUCGAGCGAACAGAUGAGGAGCUUGCUCCUCUGACGUUAGCGGCGGACGGGUGAGUAACACGUGGAUAACCUACCUAUAAGACUGGGAUAACUUCGGGAAACCGGAGCUAAUACCGGAUAAUAUAUUGAACCGCAUGGUUCAAUAGUGAAAGACGGUUUUGCUGUCACUUAUAGAUGGAUCCGCGCCGCAUUAGCUAGUUGGUAAGGUAACGGCUCACCAAGGCAACGAUGCGUAGCCGACCUGAGAGGGUGAUCGGCCACACUGGAACUGAGACACGGUCCAGACUCCUACGGGAGGCAGCAGUAGGGAAUCUUCCGCAAUGGGCGAAAGCUUGACGGAGCAACGCCGCGUGAGUGAUGAAGGUCUUCGGAUCGUAAAACUCUGUUAUUAGGGAAGAACAAAUGUGUAAGUAACUAUGCACGUCUUGACGGUACCUAAUCAGAAAGCCACGGCUAACUACGUG